GUCCACGCUGUAAACGAUGGGCACUAGGUGUGGGGGUAGUCCACUCCUCCCGUGCCGAAGCUAACGCAUUAAGUGCCCCGCCUGGGGAGUACGGCCGCAAGGUUAAAACUCAAGGAAUUGACGGGGGCCCGCACAAGCGGUGGAGCAUGUGGUUUAAUUCGACGCAACGCGAAGAACCUUACCUGGGCUUGACAUCCCUGGAACUCCCUGGAAACAGGGAGGUGCCCUCGAAAGAGGGAGCCAGGAGACAGGUGCUGCAUGGCUGUCGU
rnacentral:rRNA from 1 species